CAUUUUGAACCAUAACGCUCCUAUUUUUAUUCCAAGAAAUAUUGCAAACAUCACAAAAUGUUCAAGUAAUCCAAUCGGAUGAAACAUCAGCUGUUGGAAUCGAAACAGCACUACCAACUGUUGGACAGAAUCAGAUUGUACAAACAGAACCAUUCAAUACUUUGGAGGAGAGGCAACUAAUGGAUGCAAUGAUGCAACCUUUGCACACAAUACAGCGGCAGCAAAGGAAUGAAAUUACUCCAAUUAAUUAUCCUUCUGCUGAUAGCAACUCAGUAGCAUUUUCACAGGCUUGGCAUCAUCAUCAUCUAUCAUCUGCUCCA
rnacentral:lncRNA from 1 species